CCAGUAAUUUCUAUGUCUAAGUCUAUGUAUAUGGGGCAGCAGCCUCUAAGGUGCGGGAUUACGUAAGCAGGUGGAAGCCGCCUAGUGAUGGCGAUUUAACAGUCUGAUGGGCUUGAGAUAGAAAAUGUUUUUCAGUCUCUCGGUCCCAGCUUUGAUACUGGUUAAGUUCCUUCCCAGCUGUAAACAGUGGAAAAGGAGAAGAGUUGGGCCAGUCAGAACCGGGAUAGCUAGGACGGUCAGUUCAGGUACACUUCUGAUCUAGAGAUACUACGGCCAGUCUGCUGUACAAAGAGAAUAGACAGAGUCUUUGUGAAAGGCAGAUGGAAGGAAACCCAGUAAGGAUAAUAGUCUUUGGGCCUGUGUAGAGCCAGUCAGAGGAGGCAAACAGACUAAGAGAAGGGAGGGGGUUGGAGACGCAUCAAGCAUCCCUCUUCGAGGCAGAAAAAUACAAUUUUAAUGUUGACAGGUAUCCCCAGGGUUUAAAGGUUGGGUACUAAAGUGUGGUUUGUGUGCAAUUUUGAGCCACUUCGGUCACUGUCAAAAGCCUCAAUCUAAUCUACUCCUGUUGUGUGUGUGCUGACAGAGCGCUGGACAGAAGAGCGAGCUCUGAAACAUAGGAAUGCUGGAGAGCCAGCUGAUCACUGUGAACCUCAAGAAACAUGCCUUUGUCUUUGACUCGAGAAAGAGGAAAGUGUCUUCUGUUGCCAUGGUGCUUCUGAUGGACUCUGCAGGAUGACCAGAUGAAGAGGAUGUAUAUUUAAAGAACAUCUUCUCUAUGAGGCGUGAUGUGUUGUGCUGUUGCAACGUGUCACUGACUCUGUUUCUAUUAUCUUUUUCUAAAGGUGGAGUGCACUGUAAAUACUUAGAUUUUUGUUGUUUCAUUUUUUUCUUCGGUUAUCACAGCCAUCACCUUAUCCUAUGAGCUAGCCUCCUGCUCAGCUAGCCAUCAAACAUCUAGAUACAGUUACUGUCAAAAAGGUUCGCUGCAUUUGCACCUCUUACUUGCACAAAUCUGUGAACAAACAACAAACAGACUUCAAUUGUUGUGUCCUUAGUUAGUUUGGACGUGUGGGUCCCUUCCUGCUCUGUUCUCCCUAAUCAUGGUCUUCUUCAGUGCCUUCACUUGGUUUCAGUUAGCAUUGUGGGGUGUUGUGUCCUGAAAUGUAAAGCGGCUGCUGGCAGGACCCUUGAAGUUCACUGGAUGUCACUGGAAGGCUACUGUCCUGCAUGGAAACUAACUACUGGUUUAAUCAAUUUUGUUUCCACAUAAUUUCAACCCUCAAAUUCAAUGUGAUGAAGUUGAACUGUUUGGAGUAGAAAAGAGAUAUCAACGUAAGAGAAUUUCUGAUUUUGUUCACCUAACUUUUAACAUAAAUCCAAUGACUUGGUGACAUUUUUUUGUUGAUUUCACAUUGAAUUAAAGUUAGUUGACAACUCAACCAAAUCAAAACUAUAUGUAGAACUGACAUCUGUGCCCAGAGGGUACUAACUGGAUGGCACAGGCUAAUGCUAUAUAGCCUCCACUGAAAUUAUCAAAUAUCCUGGUUGCUGUACUUACUUGAACAUGAUUUUGGCAAAAAGUUGUAGAUAAUCAAUUGUGUAGACAUAAAUUAAUUGUGUAUUUAACUGUUGGAAGGAAUAUAGAUUGAUAUACUGGAAUUGUGAUUGUUAGUAACCCCUUUUGGCCAUAGCCAAUAGCCCAUGAAAACAUGUUUCUCUGAGUUUUCUCAUUCCUCAAAUCUGAUAUCUGCUGCUUUGGGUUAAUCCACGUAUCCAUGACGAUCCCAAGCAACCAUGACGAUCCCAAGCCUUUGUAUAUAUCAGGAGUCGACUGUAUUCAUCCACAUGUUUUGAUGAACCAAAUGUCCUCAACCCAUUGAAAAAGGGGUUAAAUGUGUACAUUGUCUCUGUUGAUGUGUUUUCUAUGUUCUCAUAGUUCAGAGACUAACAAGACAAUGGGGUUAUGAUCUGUGUUGUGUAUGUUAGACUUACUGGUUGAAAGCCCACAGACACUUUUUGUAAUAAAAUGGCAAUAUUUUUUACAAUA